rnacentral:rRNA from 1 species
UUGAUCAUGGCUCAGAUUGAACGCUGGCGGCAUGCCUUACACAUGCAAGUCGAACGGCAGCACGGGAGCAAUCCUGGUGGCGAGUGGCGAACGGGUGAGUAAUAUAUCGGAACGUGCCCAGUCGUGGGGGAUAACGCAGCGAAAGCUGUGCUAAUACCGCAUACGAUCUCUGGAUGAAAGCGGGGGACCUGCAAGGGCCUCGCGCGAUUGGAGCGGCCGAUAUCAGAUUAGCUAGUUGGUGGGGUAAAAGCUCACCAAGGCGACGAUCUGUAGCUGGUCUGAGAGGACGACCAGCCACACUGGAACUGAGACACGGUCCAGACUCCUACGGGAGGCAGCAGUGGGGAAUUUUGGACAAUGGGCGCAAGCCUGAUCCAGCAAUGCCGCGUGCAGGAUGAAGGCCUUCGGGUUGUAAACUGCUUUUGUACGGAACGAAAAGGCUCUUUUUAAUAAAGAGGGCUCAUGACGGUACCGUAAGAAUAAGCACCGGCUAACUACGUGCCAGCAGCCGCGGUAAUACGUAGGGUGCGAGCGUUAAUCGGAAUUACUGGGCGUAAAGCGUGCGCAGGCGGUUUUGUAAGACAGAUGUGAAAUCCCCGGGCUCAACCUGGGACCUGCAUUUGUGACUGCAAGGCUAGAGUACGGUAGAGGGGGAUGGAAUUCCGCGUGUAGCAGUGAAAUGCGUAGAUAUGCGGAGGAACACCGAUGGCGAAGGCAAUCCCCUGGACCUGUACUGGCGCUCAUGCAC